AACAGGAUUAGAUACCCUGGUAGUCCACGCCGUAAACGAUGUCGACUUGGAGGUUGUGCCCUUGAGGCGUGGCUUCCGGAGCUAACGCGUUAAGUCGACCGCCUGGGGAGUACGGCCGCAAGGUUAAAACUCAAAUGAAUUGACGGGGGCCCGCACAAGCGGUGGGGCAUGUGGUUUAAUUCGAUGCAACGCGAAGAACCUUACCUGGUCUUGGCAUCCACAGAACCUUGUAGAGAUACGAGGGUGCCUUCGGGAACUGUGUGACAGGUGCUGCAUGGCUGUCGUCAGCUCGUGUUGUGAAAUGUUGGGUUAAGUCCCGCAACGAGCGCAACCCUUAUCCUUUGUUGCCAGCGGUCCGGCCGGGAACUCAAAGGAGACUGCCAGUGAUAAACUGGAGGAAGGUGGGGAUGACGUCAAGUCAUCAUGGCCCUUACGACCAGGGCUACACACGUGCUACAAUGGCGCAUACAAAGAGAAGCGACCUCGCGAGAGCAAGCGGACCUCAUAAAGUGCGUCGUAGUCCGGAUUGGAGUCUGCAACUCGACUCCAUGAAGUCGGAAUCGCUAGUAAUCGUGGAUCAGAAUGCCACGGUGAAUACGUUCCCGGGCCUUGUACACACCGCCCGUCACACCAUGGGAGUGGGUUGCAAAAGAAGUAGGUAGCUUAACCUUCGAGAGGGCGCUUACCACUUUGUGAUUCAUGACUGGGGUGAAGUCGUAACAAGGUAACC
rnacentral:rRNA from 1 species